GCCCUGAUGGCACAAUGGUUAAGCAUUUGGCUGCUAACCAAAAUUUUGGCGGUUCGAACCCACCCAGUGGCU
rnacentral:tRNA from 1 species